UCCAAGGCCAGUCUGGGCACCUGCUCUUUUGCACAUUAAUAUAAUAAGCUUUAACAAGAAAUACAUGUUAACUUUCUCAGGAUCAAAGGAUUCAGAAGGCUAUUUUGCUCUCAUUUUAUCCUUAGGCUUCAGCAGAAGAAACACUUCCUAUAAAUCUCGCCCAAACAGGAAAGGGCUGGGCUCUGGGUCCUUGGCAAUUCCUCAGGUUCCCAGCACUCCAAAGCCAAGCUCACCUCCUCAUCACACGCCCUGCAGGAGAAGCAUCAGGGUGUCCGACUACGUGGGUUUCAUAGCUGUGGAAAAGCCAAAGGGGAGACUCCUGAAGAAAGGCGGUGAAGACUGUGAAGAGCGGGUCAGGAAGAUGAGCACAGCACUGCUACUCCUGUGGGCACAGGGACAGCAUGUCUCCAGCCAGCGCCACCUUGUUUAAUACAUGGGAACUCACUGAAAUUCAUUCUGUAUUUUGCCCACAAAGUUUUAAAGCUUUCAUCCACAGUCAGGAAUUAAACUUAUACCAAUGAGAGCCUCACACAUUCAAGGAUGUACUAAGCACUACAGGCCUCACAGAAACAGAGAUCCCAUCUUGGAGUUUUCAGUCCCACAUGGGAGAUAAAGGGUUUUGAACAUGAAAUGACAAAAACAACAGCAAGAAGAAAAUUCUCGUCCUUUUUCAUUACUAUCAAACUCAAAUAAAUGUCUUGGCUCUUACAUUACAUUCAUUCUUCAACCAUUGUGGUCUGGCUUCCACUUCCUUCACUUCACCAACAUGGCUCUGCCAAAGGAAGCCUGUGAUCUCUAGGCCAUCACUUUAAUUGAUCUCUCUACAACAUUUAUCCUGGUCGUUAAGCCCUCCUUACAACAUUCUUCUCUCU
rnacentral:lncRNA from 1 species